rnacentral:misc_RNA from 1 species
GCACCAGUUACAGGCCAAACGAUGAGAGUGUCUAUCUACUUGAUUUGGCUUAUGUUUUGCAAGAAAAGGGUGAACUAUUAUCACUAGUUGAUCCAAUGUUGGGCUAUGACUACUCAGUGAAACAAGCGUUGAUGAUCUUAGACCUGGCAAUGGUAUGCACUAAUCCAUCCCCUACACUGAGGCCGACCAUGUCUGAAGUGGUAAAGGUUCUCGAAGGCAAGAGCAAGAUAAAGGCUCCCUCAUUCCAUGUUCCAUACUCGACUGAUGAUUUUGCAAUGGCUAAGGCUGUGGCUAGCCUCAUUCCCCGCAUUCGAUCAGGCAGCAAUUCUACAGGGAAGACAUCAAAUGCUGUCACUUAUGAUGUUGUGAGCAGAGAUGAAGAUGAGUACGGAAUUUAUGAAGAUUGUUCUUCAGAGAUGUUAGAGAAGACAGAUAGCCUGGUUAAGUAAUCAUCUUAGUCUCCAAGGUUAUCAGGCUCUUGGUGUUUGAACUACUGCACUUGCUAGCUUCGCAUAGGACGUGUGAAAUCGAUGUUGUUGGCUUGGUUUAGUAUGUUUUUCAAUUUCCUGGAUUUUCUUAAUGUGUACCGACAUAAUUGUUGCAAUAAAUC